AUCUUUACAGACGUAUGCAAAGUUUUGAGAGACCGCGGUUUAUAAAACAUUUACAACCAAUGUAAAUGCUGUCAACUGUUUGUGUUAUAUUUGAAAACGUUUGUCGAUAUCGUUUAUGUAUGUACAGGAGUGCAUUUUAUUUACUUAUACUUUCCAUUAUCAUAAAUAUUUUGAUAAAUAUCGAUAUUUGCAACAUAUCUUUACAGACGUAUGCAAAGUUUUGAGAGACCGCGGUUUAUAAAACAUUUACAGCCAAAGUAAAUGCUGUCAAAUGUUUGUGUUAUAUUUGCAAACAUUUGUCGAUAUAGUUUCUGUAUGUAAAGACAUGUAUUUUAUUUACUAAUACUUUCCACUAUCAUAGUUAUUUUGAUAAAUAUUAAUAUUUGCAACAUAUCUUUAUAGACGUAUGCAAAGUUUUGAGAGACCGCGG
rnacentral:lncRNA from 1 species